rnacentral:rRNA from 1 species
UUUGGAAGAAGAUUGAUCCUGGCUCAGGAUGAACGCUGGCGGCGUGCCUAAUACAUGCAAGUCGAGCGAAUGGAUUAAGAGCUUGCUCUUAUGAAGUUAGCGGCGGACGGGUGAGUAACACGUGGGUAACCUGCCCAUAAGACUGGGAUAACUCCGGGAAACCGGGGCUAAUACCGGAUAACAUUUUGAACCGCAUGGUUCGAAAUUGAAAGGCGGCUUCGGCUGUCACUUAUGGAUGGACCCGCGUCGCAUUAGCUAGUUGGUGAGGUAACGGCUCACCAAGGCAACGAUGCGUAGCCGACCUGAGAGGGUGAUCGGCCACACUGGGACUGAGACACGGCCCAGACUCCUACGGGAGGCAGCAGUAGGGAAUCUUCCGCAAUGGACGAAAGUCUGACGGAGCAACGCCGCGUGAGUGAUGAAGGCUUUCGGGUCGUAAAACUCUGUUGUUAGGGAAGAACAAGUGCUAGUUGAAUAAGCUGGCACCUUGACGGUACCUAACCAGAAAGCC